GUAACAUAUAUACUAGCUAUGCUAGAAGAUGACGAGUGGCGGACGGGUGAGUAAUGCUUGGGAACUUGCCUUUGCGAGGGGGAUAACAGUUGGAAACGACUGCUAAUACCGCAUAAUGUCUUCGGACCAAACGGGGCUUCGGCUCCGGCGCAAAGAGAGGCCCAAGUGAGAUUAGCUAGUUGGUAAGGUAACGGCUUACCAAGGCGACGAUCUCUAGCUGUUCUGAGAGGAAGAUCAGCCACACUGGGACUGAGACACGGCCCAGACUCCUACGGGAGGCAGCAGUGGGGAAUAUUGCACAAUGGGGGAAACCCUGAUGCAGCCAUGCCGCGUGUGUGAAGAAGGCCUUCGGGUUGUAAAGCACUUUCAGUUGUGAGGAAAAGUUAGUAGUUAAUACCUGCUAGCCGUGACGUUAACAACAGAAGAAGCACCGGCUAACUCCGUGCCAGCAGCCGCGGUAAUACGGAGGGUGCGAGCGUUAAUCGGAAUUACUGGGCGUAAAGCGCACGCAGGCGGUUUGUUAAGCUAGAUGUGAAAGCCCCGGGCUCAACCUGGGAUGGUCAUUUAGAACUGGCAGACUAGAGUCUUGGAGAGGGGAGUGGAAUUCCAGGUGUAGCGGUGAAAUGCGUAGAUAUCUGGAGGAACAUCAGUGGCGAAAGCGACUCCCUGGCCAAAGACUGACGCUCAUGUGCGAAAGUGUGGGUAGCGAACAGGAUUAGAUACCCUGGUAGUCCACACCGUAAACGCUGUCUACUAGCUGUGUGUGUCUUUAAGACGUGCGUAGCGAAGCUAACGCGCUAAGUAGACCGCCUGGGGAGUACGGCCGCAAGGUUAAAACUCAAAUGAAAUAUGACGGGGGCCCGCACAAGCGG
rnacentral:rRNA from 1 species